rnacentral:rRNA from 1 species
GACGAACGCUGGCGGCGUGCUUAACACAUGCAAGUCGAACGGAAAGGCCCUGCUUUUGUGGGGUGCUCGAGUGGCGAACGGGUGAGUAACACGUGAGUAACCUGCCCUUGACUUUGGGAUAACUUCAGGAAACUGGGGCUAAUACCGGAUAGGAGCUCCUGCUGCAUGGUGGGGGUUGGAAAGUUUCGGCGGUUGGGGAUGGACUCGCGGCUUAUCAGCUUGUUGGUGGGGUAGUGGCUUACCAAGGCUUUGACGGGUAGCCGGCCUGAGAGGGUGACCGGCCACAUUGGGCCUGAGAUACGGCCCAGACUCCUACGGGGGGCAGCAGUGGGGAAUAUUGCACAGUGGGCGGAAGCCUGAUGCAGCAACGCCGCGUGCGGGAUGACGGCCUUCGGGUUGUAAACCGCUUUCGCCUGUGACGAAGCGUGAGUGACGGUAAUGGGUAAAGAAGCACCGGCUAACUACGUG